AUGAACGCUGGCGGCGUGCUUUACACAUGCAAGUCGAGCGAGGCCAGGUAGCAAUACCUGGGUCGAGCGGCGCACGGGUGAGUAACGCGUGGAUAACCUGCCUGAUGGUGGGGGAUAACCCGGGGAAACUCGGGCUAAUACCGCAUAACACCGAGAGGUCAAAGGGGGCCGCAAGGCUCUCGCCUGCAGAGGGGUCCGCGUCCGAUUAGCUAGUUGGCAGGGUAAUGGCCUACCAAGGCGACGAUCGGUAGCCGGCCUGAGAGGGUGAUCGGCCACACUGGAACUGAGACACGGUCCAGACUCCUACGGGAGGCAGCAGUGGGGAAUUUUGCGCAAUGGGCGAAAGCCUGACGCAGCAACGCCGCGUGGAGGAUGAAGGUCUUCGGAUUGUAAAGCUCUUUCAGACGGAAAGAAAUCGGGCGCGUGAAUAGCGUGCCUGGAUGACGGUACUGUCAGAAGAAGCACCGGCUAACUACGU
rnacentral:rRNA from 1 species